AGCGCGGUGGCGGCUGGGAAUGGCAGGCGCGCGCUCCCCGAAAGUGACGGGGUUGCCGGGCGAUCGAGCACGAGCAGCAGGGCAGCUCGGGCCUCCCGUGCCCCCCCAGCGCUUCACCUCGCCUACCCUCCCUUCCAGUCCAUUCUCAGAUACUGGAUCCUCGAUGCAACUCUUUUGGUCACAAUAGCGGGUUGACUGCAGAGCUCAGUGAUGAGCUACUGCUGAAGUUGCUUUGGAAUUAUUAAGUCGUCCUUUUGUGGUGACCAAGAACGUGGAUCAUCUCCCUCCUGUUGGGUAUCAACAACGCCCCAGCCAUGGAUCAGUCAAACAAUGGCCUGCCUCCCUAUGCCCAAGGGUUAUCAUCGCCACCGGGCGCCAUGACACCAGGAUUGCCCAUGUUUAGUCCCAUGAUGCCGUACGGCACUGGCCUGACUCCACAGCCCAUUCAAAGCUCCAAUAGCAUCUCUCUGUUGGAAGAGCAGCAAAGGCAACAACAGCAGGCAGCACAACAGUCCACGACCUCACAACUGCCAACACAAGUUACUUCCAGCCAGCCACCACAGCUGUUUCAUUCACAGACAAUGACUACAACUACUUUACCAGGCAUCACAUCUCAUUACGCCUCACCAAUGACACCCAUGACGCCCAUAACCCCUGCUACCCCUGCUUCUGAGAGUUCAGGAAUUGUACCACAGCUACAAAAUAUAGUGUCCACAGUCAAUCUGGGUUGCAAACUGGACUUGAAGACAAUAGCUCUUCGAGCAAGAAAUGCUGAAUAUAAUCCAAAGCGUUUUGCUGCUGUCAUCAUGAGAAUCCGGGAACCACGUACAACUGCACUUAUUUUCAGCUCUGGGAAAAUGGUGUGCACUGGCGCAAAGAGUGAAGAACAGUCACGAUUGGCUGCGAGAAAAUAUGCCAGAGUUGUUCAGAAAUUGGGGUUCCCGGCUAAGUUUCUGGACUUUAAGAUUCAAAACAUGGUGGGCAGCUGUGAUGUGAAAUUUCCCAUUCGGCUGGAGGGCCUGGUGCUCACUCAUCAGCAAUUCAGCAGUUAUGAACCUGAAUUGUUUCCUGGAUUAAUCUACCGAAUGAUUAAACCGAGAAUUGUACUGCUAAUAUUUGUAUCUGGGAAAGUUGUGUUGACGGGUGCAAAAGUUCGUGCUGAAAUCUACGAAGCAUUUGAAAACAUCUAUCCAAUUUUGAAAGGUUUCAGGAAGACGACAUAAUUUUGCUCUCGAAGACUUCCUACUCUGAAGGACCAUUUCACUUGCCUGCUGCCUUGUAUAGCCUGUAUAGUUGAACGCUGUUUUCUGCUGGUGUUCUGGCGCAACACUUACAUGGGAUUUUGGAUUAAGCCAUAUGUCUUACUCCCACGUGGACAAAAGGAUCACGCCUCGUCCCCUGCAAUGUAGUUUGCCCAGAAGAACGCGAGAUGUUCAACAUAGUGAGACCAGUCACCCAAGGUUGGAUCAAAAGGCUCCACCCUUCCAAACUGCGACAUGCUCUGAGGGGAUUACUUCGAUCAAGAAGGCAAUUUUCUUUUAUCUUACGACUACUGUGUGAGGACCCUGAAUGACAUCUACUAUUCCCUGGCUAAGAAGAUGAAUAGAGGCAGCCACCCAUCCUCUGGUCGCUUGGAGGUCACAAAGUACUGAACUUUCCUAAGACUCCAUCCAAUGAUGUACAUCAGGUACCCACACACCGUAGCAGUUGAUCUACCCACACCUGCAUUACAAUGGACAUAGACAGUGUGGCCGUUCUCCAGCAAUCCAUGAAGCAAGUAUACAGCCUGAGGCAGCAUUUUCACCCUGCCUGGUGUGAAACAAGUCAGACAGAAUAAAAAGAGUUUGUUAGAAAAUUUCAUCAGUUUGAAGUCAUAAAAUCUUUCACUGGUCAGAAAAAGGGCAAAUGACUAGUUUGCAGUUUAACUGCAAAUCCAAAGAAGGAAAUAAAAGGAAGGCUUAAACUACUUAUGUAACUAGUCAUUUUUGACCCAUUGGGAAUAAUAUUUAUCAAGCAAGAUAAAGUACUGUAAAGUGGAGGAAGCUCGUGUGGAGCAUAAACAGACCUGUUGGAUCGAUUUGCCUGUUUGUGAAAUUCUACAUAAUUUUCAGAAUUUUCUUUUAUUGGUAAGGAAACAGGUCAUUCAUUAAACAUGUCAGGCAUUGCUGUUUGUAAGCCAUGCCCAUCCCCUAUUUCCAUGCCCAAUUAUGGGAAAGUAGCACUAACAAAAGCCACAACAGUGAGAAAUAGAAUUUUUUGUAUUAAAAGCAUCAAAACAGUGUAAAGUUUGGCUAAGGAAAACCUUGACAAGAACAAAUAAGAGUUUUAGUAUUGCUGAAAAAAGAAAUGAGCUCUUUGCAGGCCGAUAAGGUGGUUAAGAUGACAUCUGGAAUCCUUUCAAUUAUUAGCUGAAGCAUUAAAUAUAAGACCAGGGAGUUUAUGCUGGAACUGUAUAAAACCUUAGUUAGGCCACAACUUGAACAUUGUGUGCAGUUCUGGUCACCUCAUUACAGAAAGGAUGUAAUUGCAUUGAGAUUUACGAGGUUGCUGCCAAGACUGGAAAAUUACAGCUACGAUGAAAGAUUUAAUAGGCUGGGGUUGUUCUCCUUGGAACAGAGGAGGCUGAGGGGAGAUUUGAUUGAGAUGUACAAAAUUGAGAGGGGCCUGGAUAGAAUGGAUGGAAAGGGCCUAUUUACUUCAGCAGAAAAGGCCAGUGACUAGGGGGCAUAGGUUUAAAGUAAUUGGUCGAAAGAUUAAAAGGGAGAUGACAAAAAUGUCUUUCACCCAGAUUGUCGUGGUGGUCUAGAGCUCACUGCCUGAAAGGGUAGCGAAGGGAGAAAUCCUCAACUCAUUUAAAAAGUGUCUGGAUAUCCACCUCAAGUGUCAUAAUCUGCAGGGCUAUGGACAGGAAAGUGGGAUUAGGCUGGGUGGCCUGUUUUUCAGCCAGCACAGACAUGAUGGACUGAAUGGCCUCUUUCAAUGCUGUAAACUUUAUUCGAUUCUGUGCUGUUGAAGUUUUUCACUUUGCCCACAUCAGGGCAGUUCAUAAGAAUACAAUAGUAGAGGCUACUUAUUAUUUACCAAUGUAUUCUUGCGAACUGUCCUGAUGAGUGUAAGACAAAAAGCUUCAGCAUGUCUGUUAUUUCAGCAAUACUCGAGUACAACCAAACAACUGAAAAAAGAGUUUGUGAAAGUGAACAAAUAAUGUCUAUUAAAGUCACAAUAUGCUUA